rnacentral:rRNA from 1 species
GCAGCAGUGGGGAAUUUUGGACAAUGGGCGAAAGCGUGAUCCAGCCAUGCGGCGUGCAGGAUGAAGGCCUUUGGGUUGUAAAUUGCUUUUGUACGGAAGGAAAAGACUUUGUUUAAUACAGGGGGUCCAUGCCGGUUCGGUAAGAAUAAGCCCGGGUUAAUUACGUGCCAGCAGCCGCGGUAAUAGGUAGGGUGCAAGGGUUAUUGGGAAUUAUUGGGGGUAAAGCGUGGGCAGGGGGUUAUAUAAUCCAGAUGUGAAAUCCCGGGGUUCAACCUGGGAAUUCCAUUUGUGACUGUAUAGCUAGAGUACGGCAGAGGGGGAUGGAAUUCGGCGUGUAGCAGUGAAAUGGGUAGAUAUGGGGAGGAACACAGAUGGGGAAGGCAAUCCCCGGGCCCUGUACUGACGUUCAUGCAGGAAAGCGUGGGGAGCAAACAGGAUUAGAUACCCUGGUAGUCCACCCCUUAAAGGAUGUCAACUGGUUGCUGGGUCUCCACUGACUCAGUAACGCAGCUAACGCGUGA